GUACGCAUGCCCAUCCGAGACUUUCUGAGGCCCCGGAAGGUCGUACUCCUCCAUUUUGUCUCUUAAUGGGCAUGUCUGGGCUCGCUCGCCCAAUAUCUGAGAUUUUAUUGGAAGCCUUUUUUGCUUCUCCCUGGCACCUGCAUUCAAUUAACACUUUAAUGUAACAGCUGUGGACCAUCAGGAGCUUGUCUCUCCCUGGCACCGGCUGCUGAGUUAUCAUUUUUAGAGAGGCAAUGUGAUAACUGUGAAAUCAUCACCAAUGAUUGCCUGACAUUCCUGGUGGGUGGGAGAAGAGCCCUCUUCUGCCGCUUUCAUGCUUGGCUAACUACCUGUAACGGAUGGAAAAAGAAAGAAAUGAAGGCGUGAUUGCUCAGGAAGAAGAGGACAGAGAGGAUCAAGGGCGUCAGAUCUCUCUCUGAGGCUGAAGAAAAUGAAGAUCCUAUCUGCUUCUGUGUUCAGAAUGUACCUGGAAGGCUGGCUGGUCCCCCUGAGUGUCUCCCACAAGCCAGACGGGCCUCAGUGGCCAUUUCUCCCCAGGGCCUCCCAUGGCAACCAGACAGCAGAGUUGGAGAGCGUGAGAGGUUCAGUUCCCUUUGGCAUUGUCUUUUCUUUUCUUUUCUUUUUCUUUUUUUUUGAGACGGAGUUUCGCUCUCGUUACCCAGGCUGGAGUGCAAUGGCGCGAUCUCGGCUCACCGCUACCUCUGCCUCCUGGGUUCAGGCAAUUCUCCUGUCUCAGCCUCCUGAGUAGCUGGGAUUACAGGCGCGCGCCACCAUGCCCAGCUAAUUUUUUGUAUUUUUAGUAGAGACGGGGUUUCACCAUGUUGACCAGGAUGGUCUCAAUCUCUUGACCUCGUGAUCCACCCGCCUCGGCCUCCCAAAGUGCUGGGAUUACAGGCUUGAGCCACCGCGCCUGGCCCUCUUUUCUUUUCUUUUUGAGACGAAGUCUCGUGCUGUCACCCAGGCUGGAGUGCAGUGGCGCUAUGUCCGCUUACUUCAUCCUCUGCCUCCCGGGUUCAAGCGAUUCUCCUGCCUCAGCCUCCUGAGUAGCUGGAAUUACAGGCGCCCACCACCAUUGCCGGCUAAUUUUUGUAUUUUUAUUAGAGAUGGGAUUUCACCAUAUGGUCAGGCUGGUCUUGAACUCCUGACCUCACGUUAUCCACCCGCCUUGGCCUCCCAAAGUGCUGAGAUUACAUGCGUGAGCCACGGCGCCCUACCCCCUCUGCAUUUUUUAAGUGAACUUAGACUUGGAGGACUCGGUGUCUUCAUUACGUCUCUGACUGCCUGAAGGGGGAUGGGCAGGCUGUCAAUCAGAUGGCAUUUGUCAGAGUCACAAAUUACCAGCAAAGUGCCUCAUAAGAAAAGCCUCGUGUUCCCUCUGCAGAGGUGUCCCCAUUUAGGAAACAUGAACUGAAGUAACCUUGCAAGAUAACGUUCUCACAUAUCACAGAUACUUGAUCAUUUUCUUCUUUUUUAAACUUCAGAGAAUUUUUUUUUCGCCUUCUUCACAUGUUCUUGCCUAUUACUAAGGAAUUGAGACUUUUGAAAUGUCAUUGUCAGCAUUUUCAGGCUAUGAUUUUCCUGUCUCAUUAACAAAGGCCUCUUGUACUUUCCCUGCUUUCAGAAAGGUGAGAGCACUCGAUUUAUUCUUAAUGUUCACAAGAGGCUUCCAACCUCAGCCUCCCACUGCUGACUUUCUGAACUUGACCUUGGGAGGGUCUGGAAACCGGCUUGUCUGUUUAGAUAAGCCAGAGAUAAGCACCCUUUUGUUGUGUUGUUCCUAUCAAGAGCACUUAUCUACAAACUGGAUAAUUUAUCCUGCUCUUCUAAUUUUUAUCUUAAAAGCAUCUCUCCUUCACCCUUCAAAACUGGCACACCAUAGUCACCAAAUGACCUUUUUGCUCUAGUCUGGAGCUAAAGUAUUUGGAAACAAUACCCGUCAGCUGGAAACUUAGACUAACUAAUGUCUGAAAUACUUAAGGAUAGUAAGAGCUCCCUUCCUUGGAUAACUUCUGUAUUAAAGUCAAGGAGAUGAAACUUUCACGUAUAUCAUCUCACUGAAUCCUCACAACACCAUGAGAGCCAGGACUUCACCAUGUUGCCCAGGCUGGUCUCAAACUCCUGGGCUCCGUGCCCAGCCUGAGUAAAUGCUUUUUACUCCAUUUAGGAAUGUGUGCUUCCCCUCUUUUCUUUGCCAAAUCGGUUGACUUCUAAUAAUGUCUGGGGAGAUUAUCCUGGAUUAUCUGGACAGGCACAAUGUAAUUCAAAGGAUCCUUAAAAGAUGAAAUAAAGUCAGAGUCAUAGAGAUUUUAAAUUGCUAUGCUGAUGGCUUUGAAGGCAGAGAAAGGAGCCACAAGCCAAAAAAAUGCAGAUGUCCUCUAGAAGCUCGAAAAUGCAAGAAGCCUCUGAAUUCUCUCCCGAAUUCUGUAAAAGGAACACAGUUCUGUCAACACCUUGAUUUUAGCUCAGUGAAACCCAUUCUGGACUUCUGAUCUUCAGAAGUAUAAGAUGAUAUAUUCAUGCUGUUUAAGUCACUAAGUUAGUGCUCUUUGUCACAGCAGCAAUAGGAAACUAAUACAGUAUGUUACUUCCAAUAUUAGGUCAUAAAAGAUAGUAGCUUCUAUCUUGGGCUCUUUGUUUCUGUCUUUUACAUUGCUUAUUCUGGAGAAAGCAAGCUGUAACGUAAUAAAGAAACCUAAGUAGCCGAAUGAAUGGCCCCUAUGGCAAGGAACUGAACACUACUAGCAAAUGAGAGAACUUGGAAGGAGUUCUUCAGCCCCAGCCGAACUUCAGAUGACUACAGCGCUAACUGACAGACUGACUGCAACUGCAUGCAAGAUCCUAAACCAGAACCAACCAGCUAAGCUGAUCCUGGGUUACUGAUGCAACAGAAACUCUAAGAUAAUAUUAAUAUGUGUUGCUUUAAGCUGCUAAAUUUCAAGGUAAUCUGUAACACAGCAAUAGCUAAUACAAUAUCCUUGUGUAGUCUCCACCCACACAGAAUCAGCCUGACCUACGUGACAAGUGAAAUCCUUCAGAAGUGAUGGCAUAAAACUUCUUAAAUAGUUCCUAAAAAUUAUUUCAGCUUCUGCUUUAAGCUUUUGGAUCAUUCACUCUGGAGACAAGCAGCUGACAUGUCAUGAGGACACUCAAGCAGCCCUGUAGAGCAAGCAACUUGUCAGUCAUGUGAGAGAGCCAUUUUGGAAGUAUACCCUCCAGCUCAAGUCACACCCUGGACAAUUUCAGCCCUUCGGCUUUCAAGUCUUCCAGCUGAGGCCCCAGACCUUAUAAAACAGAGACAAACCCUGCCAACUGUGCUGUCUUUGAAUGCUUGACCCACUGAAACUGUGAGAUAAUAAAUAAUUAUUAGCAUUUUCACCCACUUCAUUUUGAGUGAUUUGUUAUGCAGCAAUAACUAAUACAAAUGCAUUAAAUAUUUAGUAUAUUCUAAUUGCAUUUUAGGGAAAUAUUUUUUCAUGUCCAUAAUGUAAGUAUGUUAGUAUCUUUUCAAAAUGAUGCUUGACAUGUGUAUAAAACUAUGUCAACACUUCUUUUCCUCUGACCAGAAUCUCUGUCAAUAUUGCAUAAAGCAAAUAUCAGAGAGAAUUUGUGAAAACAAAGAAAACAGAUUAACGCUACAGGGUAUAUAGCAGACUGAAUACUUGGUAGGAAAGUGGCUUCUGCUUUGGGUGUAUGCCAGCUUUAUUUUUUAUAGUCACAACUAGUAAGGUCAGAAAUUUCUCUUGUUUAUAACCAAGCUCAGCUUGCUCAUACAUUCUUCAUUUAAUUUGGUUGGAUGUGGGAAGAAAAUGCAGAAAAUCAUUGAACUUGCUAAUUAAAGGUAAUGUAGUCACUUCCUGAAUAACUCUUAACCUCUUGGGAACUCAGUCCAUUCAAACUCCAAACUUCAUAUCUGGACAACAUCACCUCUUACUUGUCCUCCCCUUCUCGUUCUCCCUAGAAAGGGUUUUGGAUCUAGGGAGAAGCUUACAUAAUGCUUGUGUGGGUGCCCAUCUAAUAUCUGCAUUGGCAUGUCAUCUUUACUGGCCCUUCUCUAAGCUGCAGCUUGUCCCACCUCAUCUUGGGGAGGUCUCCGUCUUGACUAUAUUGGCUGCUGAAGCACCUAACACUGAUAUAGCCAUAAGACUAUUCUUCUGCACACUCAGUUCAUGGUUGCCCCUUUUCCACACUGCCCAAACCUUGUUCUUUCCAUCUGGGGCUCUAAUCCACUGAAAAUUUGCCAUAUUAUCAAGUCACCCUACAACUUCACAAUAGCAUCCACUCUCUCCCUGAAAACAGGGACAAGCACAGAGGCUCUCAAUUCUCAGACCUUCUUCACACCUUCCAAUAAACUAGAAAUUUUCUUAUUUGUCUUCUACAUACUCUGGAGCAGAAGGAUACUUUCAAUGGGGUGGUCAAUUUGCUCAGGGAGGCCUCUCUUCUCCAGCUAGUCUGUCAGAGUGAGGCAGAAUUUUAUAAUACCUUCUUGCUUAUAUGAGCAGAGCAGCAAUUCCUUGUCUAGCCAGGGAAAAUCAUUUUUCCAUAUUUCAGAUGUUCUACCUGGCCAGUUAAGUAUAGCAGGCCUAAGUAUCUAGUUAUUCUGCCUAAUUAUCUAGUUAUUCUGCCUAAUUAUCUAGUUAUUCUUUGCAGGUAGAACUAAUAACAGGGAAUUUGUAAAUCCAUCCUAUACAUAUUUGAUAUGAAACAAUGCUGGAUAAUUGUUUUUAAAUGCCUUCUUAUCCAAGCCUGCAAGUAUACUGAGAAUGUUACUUUAUUAUAUACAGUAAAACAUGUCCCCUCAUAUCUUCAACAUAGCAGUAUGCCAUACUGCUUUGGCAUACUAUGUGGCCAUGUGUAAUGUACCAGACAAUAGUGUGUAUCACUGAGUUUUUGUCUCCCUGUCUUUGUGUGCCACUGCUCAUUUCUUAGCAGUAUGAAAUAGCAGUUAAAAACACAGCUUCUAGAGAGAGAAUUUGAUUCAAAUUCUCACUCUGCAACUUAUUAGCCAUGAGGCCUUGGAUGGGUUAUUUAGCCUUUCUUUGUCAUUUUUUUCAUCUGUAAAUAAAAUGAGGUUGUUGGUAAUAGUAUCUACCUCACUUCGUUGUUGUAAGGAAUGAAAUGAAAUUAUAUUAAAUUUUUAGAAUGCUGGAAAACACUGAAUAGUUGUUAGUUAUCACUUUUCCCUUCUUUGGCCUUUCCAUUCUGUAUUAGCGAGCUCUGGAUGCCAUUACAAAAUACCCCAGACUUGGUAGUGUCAGCAACAGAAAUUUAUUUCUCACAGUUCCAGAGACAGGGAGAUCUAAUAUCAAGGUCAGAAAGGUAGGUUUUAUUCUGAGGCCUCUUCUCCUGGCUUGUAUGGAGGUAGCCAGCUUCUCACUGUGUGCUCACAUGACCUCUUCUCUGUGCACAAGGGCGAGAGAACUUUCUCUGGUGUCUCUUUUUAUAAGGGCCAUGAGGCCCCACCCUCGAGAACUCAUUUAAAACUAACCACCUUCCAAAAGCCUCAUCUCCAAAUACUAUCAUAUUGGGGCUUAAAAACUUCAACAUAUAAAUUUGGGGAGGUUUGUGGAGCUACAAACAUUUAGCCCAAACACAUUCCUCUCCCAAAACCCAAUUUUUUUCUCUACCUUGACUUCCUAUAUCUUAAAGAAAAACUAGAUUUACUAAGUGGCUAGAAACAUUCAGUAAAUGUUAUGUAUGCCAAAAUACUUGAUUCAAUGGAAUGCUAGGUCACAGAUUCAUUUUGUUGAAAAAUAUCUGGACCAGUCAUGAGCUUGUACAGUUAGAAAUAAAGACCUUAUAACCAUUACCUAUUCUACAAAUAAUGCUGGACGAAAACAGUAUGACAAAAUUCAAUGUCUAAAAACAGUGUGUCUAUACAUCUGGAGCCAGCUGCAGGCCAGAGAUUUAGACUGGGUGAUUCUUCUGGCCUCAACUGGCCUCUCCCAUUUGCCUGGGAGUAGACUGACUAUCGGUGGGGAUCUCAUUUUUCUAAGUUUUAUCUGGCUUGGAGAAUCCAGCUUGGCUUGACAGGUCUCAUAUACCACGUGUCUCUAACAUCCUUCCAGCAGGCUAACGCAGGCAUGUUCUCUCAUGAGAUCCAAAUACAAGUAAGCUCAGUGCUCAGUCCUGAAAGCAGAAACCAAAAGGAAACACAUUCUGCUAGCCAGAGCAAGUCCCAAGAACAAUUCAAAUUCAAGAGAUGGAGAAAUAAACUGUGCCUUUUCAUGGGACAAACGAGGAAUUAGAGCCAUUUUGCAACCUGUUUCACCAACGAUCCUUUUGUCUACCCUCCCUUUCCUUUUUCAUUUAAAACACCACAAAUUUUAAUUAGAGAGAGUAUGGCAUAUAUUGGGGGGAAGUUUUAUGUAAUUUAUAGAUACCCUUUGGGGUAAUUUAUAAAAAGUCUUCCUUCAUAAGAUUUUGGAUGGUUUUGUGUGGGAGGUGAUAAGACCGUUUUUAUAAAACAUACUUAGGAAUAGUUCUGAACAUAAUUUAACUUAAUUUCUUCUUUUGUGUCUCAAACUGAGAAACAUUUUUUACUAAAUAGAAAUAUUUCAUGUGUUCUAAAAGAGAAUAUUAAUAUAAACUAGAAGGCUGAAAAGUAUCAAAAUCUAUUUGUUAAAAAUGUAUUACUUUAUCUUAGUGUUUACACUUAGCAUCCAGAUAUGACCAGGAAUGAGGAAAUUUGAUUUUUGGAAAUGAAACAAUGAUGUGCUGCCACCUUGUGUACAAUGCCUGUAAGCACCAUUAUUUGCCAUUGCUAUUAGAAUACUAAUCAGAAACAAAUACUGCCAUGAAGGGAGACAUUUUGUCCUUAUGAAAGGCAGGGUUUCUUAAUCUUUUGUGUGCUCAUGGACUCUGACAACCUAUGGGCCUUUUUUCAUAAUAAUGUUUUUAAAACACUAGGAUUAGAAAGGAAACUAUAUUGAAAUGCAGUUAUCAAGAGAUUUAAAAUGACAUGUAUUAUACUAAUAUGUGUGUUUGAUUAACAGGUCAGUAACAAAAUGUAGUCUAAUAAUUACUAUAAUUUUGAGCUGAUAGUGUAAACAUUUUGAGACGUCUGCAACAACAGUAAUAUGAUAUGAAAAGUAUGUCACAGGCUGGUACUAUUCUGGUCUGUUGCCUAUGCUGUAUUCAUAGUUGAAAGAAAUGUUUUAUUGCAAUUAGAAAUUAGUGGAGAAAACUGGCACAUUUUUUCCUAUAUAAGCUCAUGGGCCACUUGAAUUCUAUCCAUAUACCCCUGAGACUCCAGAGACUCCAAAGUAAUCAUUCCCGACCCUUAAUGUAGCUUACAUUUGAUCACUAAACAAGGAAAAACAACACAUCUAAAGUUUCCAAAUCAAAUCUUUAUGAAGACCCUAUGAAUCCAUGAAAAUGUUCUUUAAACAACAAAGCAUUAAUUUUUCUCUCAUAAGUACUACUUUUAUAUACCAUAAUGUAAUGAACUAUUGGAUAUUUCUGAUAUUUUUAUAUUAAAUAUUAUCAAGUAUUUGUCAACAAAAUAUAUGUGUGAUUUUAUUUGAUUUCUUAAGAAACUAAGUUACCUUGAUUCUAGCCUAAGGUGUGUCUUUGGAUGAUUCAGUGGCCUUGUACAUUUCUUUCUUUUUCCUUCCCUUCUCCUUUGCUUUCUUUCUUCUUUCUUCUCUUUCUUUCUCUCUCUGUCUCUUUCUCUCUCUCUCUCUCUCUCUCUCU